GGGAUGCAAAUAGAUCAAAGAAAAGGACUAGGCUCCUUGACCUCCUCAAGAAAUCCAACUU
rnacentral:tRNA from 1 species